UACGUAGGGGGCAAGCGUUGUCCGGAUUUAUUGGGCGUAAAGAGCGUGUAGGCGGCUAGGUAGGUCCGUUGUGAAAACUCGAGGCUCAACCUCGAGACGCCGAUGGAAACCAUCUGGCUAGAGUCCGGAAGAGGAGAGUGGAAUUCCUGGUGUAGCGGUGAAAUGCGCAGAUAUCAGGAAGAACACCAAUUGCGAAGGCAGCUCGCUGGGACGUUACUGACGCUGAGACGCGAAAGCGUGGGGAGCAAACAGG
rnacentral:rRNA from 1 species